rnacentral:rRNA from 1 species
AGCAGCCGCGGUAAUUCCAGCUCCAAUAGCGUAUAUUAAAGUUGUUGCAGUUAAAAAGCUCGUAGUUGAAUUUCGGGGUUUGUCCAUCGGUCGGGCUUUAUUGUCCGUACUGGUGUGAUGAAUUCAUACAUUCUGAAUAACCUUCAUGUCAUUUAUUUGGUGUGUUGGGGAAGCAGAGCUGUUACCUUGAAAAAAUUAGAGUGCUUAAAGCAGGCAAGUGCCUGAAUACAUUAGCAUGGAAUAAUGAAAUAGGACGGCAUGGUUCUAUUUUGUUGGUUUCUAGGAUCACCGUAAUGAUUAAUAGGGAUAGUUGGGGGCAUUAGUAUUCAAUUGUCAGAGGUGAAAUUCUUGGAUUUAUUGAAGACUAACUUCUGCGAGAGCAUUUGCCAAGGAUGUUUUCAUUAAUCAAGAACGAAAGUUAGGGGAUCGAAGACGAUCAGAUACCGUCGUAGUCUUAACCAUAAACUAUGCCGACUAGGGAUCGGACGAUGUUAAUUUUUUAAUGACUCG